rnacentral:rRNA from 1 species
CCUACGGGAGGCUGCAGUGGGGAAUAUUGGACAAUGGGGGGAACCCUGAUCCAGCCAUGCCGCGUGUGUGAAGAAGGCCCUCGGGUUGUAAAGCACUUUCAGUGAGGAAGAACGCCUGGUGGUUAAUACCCAUCAGGAAAGACAUCACUCACAGAAGAAGCACCGGCUAACUCCGUGCCAGCAGCCGCGGUAAUACGGAGGGUGCGAGCGUUAAUCGGAAUUACUGGGCGUAAAGCGCGCGUAGGUGGCUUGAUAAGCCGGUUGUGAAAGCCCCGGGCUCAACCUGGGAACGGCAUCCGGAACUGUCAAGCUAGAGUGCAGGAGAGGAAGGUAGAAUUCCCGGUGUAGCGGUGAAAUGCGUUGAGAUCGGGAGGAAUACCAGUGGCGAAGGCGGCCUUCUGGACUGACACUGACACUGAGGUGCGAAAGCGUGGGUAGCAAACAGGAUUAGAUACCCCAGUAGUC